UACAGAGGUCUCAAGCGUUGUUCGGAUUCAUUGGGCGUAAAGGGUGCGUAGGUGGCGGGGUAAGUCAGGUGUGAAAUCUCGAGGCUCAACCUCGAAACUGCACUUGAUACUGCCUUGCUAGAGUACUGGAGAGGAGAUUGGAAUUUACGGUGUAGCAGUGAAAUGCGUAGAUAUCGUGAGGAACACCAGAGGCGAAGGCGGCUACCUGGACAAUUGCUGACGCUCAGGCACGAAAGCGUGGGGAGCAAAAGG
rnacentral:rRNA from 1 species